AGUCUGCAGAUGAAACCAAAGUUAGACAAAUAGAGACUCUUCAUGAAAGAAAGGCUACCUGCUCCACUGCUGAACGUAGAAGCUGAUUUGCCCUAUCCAGCACUCAGCCAUGCAAAGCAGUGCUCCCAACGAGGGCAUCAAAGGAGACAGCCUAGCAAAGCUGCAGGUGGAGGAGGACUCACUGCCACUGUUUUCCACAUGUUCCUCCCUAUGGGGGCCUGACUGGACCUCAGCCUGAGGAUGGAACUGAAUGGAAACUUAAUGGAGAGAUGACUUUGAAAUGCAUAAUUCUAAGUUCCUGAAUUAUGGAAAUCAUGGAAGAAAUUAUUGGGAUGCCUUUGGAAUGGUCACAUUCCCACUUGCCUUUUAAGCAAAGGUUCAUCGGAUCAAAUGGUUUUUAAGGCAGAAUGUUUAGUUCUCCCUUUUGUUCAGCAUGUACCUGAGAUAUUGAAGAAGGUUUGUUAGGAGGCCUGGAGUGAAAUCAAUUCAAUACAUGCUAGCAAGAUCUAUUUGCAGGAAUUCUGUAGAUGCAGUGCAGCCAGCAACCCAAUGCCUAUUUUGGACACACUGAAUUUCUUGAUAUGCUUCUUAUGUUUCCUCAAUAUUAUCGUGCACCAGAAGCUCUGGGCAGGCUCUAAAAAACAGAUGACCGUAGCCCCUGUUGCACCUUUCAGCUAUCUCAUGGCUGUCCAAGACAAGACUCAAGUGGACUUUUGAUCACUGGAGAUGAGCUUCCUAGUAGUAYGCUCACCACUUGCUUCUAAUCUUGAAAAGAAAAAUAAAAUAAAGGGAUUGAAAAUGUUGCCUUUUUAA
rnacentral:lncRNA from 1 species